rnacentral:lncRNA from 1 species
GUUUCGAAUCAAAUCUGCUCAUGCUUAUGAAUCUUGCUGGUAUAGAAGCCCUGCCAUUCACUACUGUAGGGAUGAUCCCCAUGUGGAGAAACUGACAAAAGCCUUUUUUCUGGAGUGGAGCUGGAAGUUACUCCUAACUAUCUCAGUGUUAAAGCAGCAGGGGAUGAGGAGAAAUUCUUGAAAAUGCUGUCACAUCAAAACCAACUUCUUAUAGAAUGCCACAGUGAAGAGUGGACUUCUCAGGACAACCCACUUACUAUAGAUGCUCAGAUUCUGAAACAAUUUUGAAAUACUUCAAUACUCUAAAUUACAGGCGGGAAUCAUUAUUUUGUUCAAUACCUGCUGACAAGAAGUAAAAGCACUUUUUUUUUUUUUUUUUGAGACACAGUCUCACUCUCCAACUCAGGCAGGAGUGCAGUGGCAUUAUCUCAGCUCAAUGCAACAUCUGCCUCCUGGGUUCAAGCCAUUCUCCUGCCUCAGCCUACUGAUUAGCUGGGAUUACAAGCAUGUGCCACCAUGCCCGGCUAAUUUUUGUAUUUUUAGUGGAGACUGGGUUUCACCAUGUUGGCCAGGCUGGUCUCAAACUCCUGACCUCGGGUGAUCCACCCACUUCCCAAAGUGCUGGGAUUACAGGCGUGAGACACCAUGCCUGGCAAAAGCACAUUUUAAAAAGUGUAUUAAAUACUUAGUCAAGAAAAGGAAACCAAAAUUGAAGAAGUGCUCCCUCCCUGUGUGUCAGUCAUCAUGUAAGGUACUUUGCAUGUGUUCUCACAACCACUCUGAAUGAACAGAUGAGGCAACAGAUAACUCAGAGGUUGAGUGCACAGACCAAGGUCAACUCUGCCUGAAAAGAUCAGGGCCUAUGUGCCAGCUUUCUUUUACCUGAAAGAAAACCCUGUCCUCUUCACUAUAGCAUGCCAUCUCAAUACAUUGAACUUCCAUGUAGCUUCCUCAUGCGGAUGCUUUUGAAUAUUGUAAUCACAGAAUUUUAGUCCUGCACUCUCAACCCAUCAGUAAAUUGUUCAUCACCCAUAAGAAGAAUCAACUUCCUACAAACAUCUCCCAUGUAUUCGUAGCCAUCAAUAUAGAGAUGAUCACUUACAGAGUAAUAUUGUAAAAAGGACAGUGACUACAUUGCUUUAAGUCUGAACUUUUACAGAAAAUUCUGGCACCUUUAUUUUCAGUGUUUCCCCUAAUGAUAAUAAUAAUUGGCACAAAAGAA